GUGGGUAGUUUGACUGGGGCGGUCUCCUCCUAAAGAGUAACGGAGGAGCACGAAGGUUGGCUAAUCCUGGUCGGACAUCAGGAGGUUAGUGCAAUGGCAUAAGCCAGCUUGACUGCGAGCGUGACGGCGCGAGCAGGUGCGAAAGCAGGUCAUAGUGAUCCGGUGGUUCUGAAUGGAAGGGCCAUCGCUCAACGGAUAAAAGGUACUCCGGGGAUAACAGGCUGAUACCGCCCAAGAGUUCAUAUCGACGGCGGUGUUUGGCACCUCGAUGUCGGCUCAUCACAUCCUGGGGCUGAAGUAGGUCCCAAGGGUAUGGCUGUUCGCCAUUUAAAGUGGUACGCGAGCUGGGUUUAGAACGUCGUGAG
rnacentral:rRNA from 1 species